ensembl:lncRNA
CAUCACGGAGGAGGUGAGAGCGCCCAGACGAUAGGGCAUCACGAGGGAGGAGGUGAAGAGCGUCCAGACGAUAGGGCAUCACGAGGGAGGAGGUGGAGAGCGUCCAGACGAUAGGGCAUCACGAGGGAGGAGGUGAAGAGCGUCCAGACGAUAGGGCAUCACGAGGGAGGAGGUGAAGAGCGUCCAGACGAUAGGGCAUCACGAGGGAGGAGGCGGUGAAGAGCGUCCAGACGAUACUAAAACCAAGGCGUCCACGAGAGCGUAGGGAGUGAAGUGACGUCCGAACGAAAGCGCAUCCACGUGCGCGGAUAGAGUCAAGCCCCCUCUGUCCGUAAUUCUCUGCGCUAUAUAUCGCGUGUAAUCAGGAAUGGGCCAACCACCAAUCACUAACGCUAACCACGCAUGCUGAUCUGAUGAUUGACAAAAACAAAUUAGAUGUCCUUAUGACCACAAAUAAAAUACAGAAUCAUGUCAAAACAAAACAAAACAAUGUAGAAACAAAGUAUGAAUGUAGGUUCAUCACAGUGUGUGUGUGUGUGUGUGUGUGUGUGUGUGUGUGUGUGUGUGUGUGUGUGUGUGUGUGUGUGUGUGUGUGUGUGUGUGUGUGUGUGUGUGUGUGUGUGUGUGUGUGUGUGUGUGUGUGUCUGUGUCUGUGUCUGUGUCUGUGUGUGUGUGUGUGUGUGUGUGUGUGUGUGUGUGUGUCUGAUGUGUGUCUGAUGUGUGUACCAUGUAAUGCAUGAGUUGAGAAACAGCUUCAACGUUAUUAAUCUGUGCUAUAACUCAAACCGGUACUAACAGUCUGCGCAAGAAUAGAGCAAGUUAGAGCCACGUCAUUAAGGAGCUGGUAGCUGGUGGUAGCUUCAGGUAUCUGCAGGUAGCUGGUGGUAGCUGGUGGUAGCAGCAGGUAGCUUCAGGUAUCUGCAGGUAGCUGGUGGUAGCAGCAGGUAGCUUCAGGUAUCUGCAGGUAUCUGCAGGUAGCUGAUGGUAGCAGCAAGUAGCUGGUGGUAGCUGAUGGUAGCAGCAGGUAGCUUCAGGUAUCUGCAGGUAGCUUCAGUUAGCUGAUGGUAGCUUCGGGUAGCUGACGGUAGCUGAUGGUAGCAGCAGGUAGCUUCAGGUAUCUGCAGGUAGCUGAUGGUAGCUGAUGGUAGCUGACGGCAGCUUCAGUUAGCUGAUGGUAGCUUCAGGUAGCUGACGGUAGCUUCAGUUAGCUGAUGGUAGCUUCAGGUAGAUGGAGGUAGCUUCAGGUAGAUGGAGGUAGCUUCAGGUAGAUGGAGGUAGCUUCAGGUAGAUGGAGGUAGCUUCAGGUAGAUGGAGGUAGCUGCAGGGAGCUUCAGGUAGAUGGAUGUAGCUGCAGGUAGAUGGAGGUAGCCUCAGGUAGCUUCAGGUAGACGGAGGUAGCUUCAGGUAGAUGGAGGUAGCUGCAGGGAGCAGCAGGUAGCUUCAGGUAGCUUCAGGUAGCUUCAGGUAGAUGGAGGUAGCUGCAGGUAGAUGGAGGUAGCUUCAGGUAACUUCAGGUAGAUGGAGGUAGCUUCAGGUAGAUGGAGGUAGCUUCAGGUAGCUUCAGGUAGAUGGAGGUAGCUUCAGGUAGAUGGAGGUAGCUUCAGGUAGCUUCAGGUAGAUGGAGGUAGCUUCAGGUAGCUUCAGGUAGACGGAGGUAGCUUCAGGUAGAUGGAGGUAGCUUCAGGUAGCUUCAGGUAGAUGGAGGUAGCUGCAGGUAGAUGGAGGUAGCUUCAGGUAGAUGGAGGUAGCUUCAGGUAGAUGGAGGUAGCUGCAGGGAGCAGCAGGUAGAUGGAGGUAGCUGCAGGGAGCAGCAGGUAGAUGGAGGUAGCUGCAGGGAGCAGCAGGUAGAUGGAGGUAGCUGCAGGGAGAAGCAGUUAGACUGUCUAUGAGUAGACUGUGAGGGAUCGAACCCAGCACCUUAAACUGGGAGUCACACUCCCCUAACCACGAGUAUCCUGCCCCAUUACAACAAAAUAAAUAUCAACUGUAAUAAUUUACAAUGUGGGUACAUUCCUUAACCAUUCAUUAACGUUUGUUAAUGCAGAAAUUAUGGAAAAUGUUCAUGUUCACUGUGUUAAUAUGUUAACUUAAUAUUACAUAUUAUUGAUGUUAAUAGCCUAACCCCAACAUCAGUGCCAUGGUGUGUGUGCAUGUGUAUAAUGUUUGUGUGUGUGUAAUGUUUGUGUGUGUAUAAUGUUUGUGUGUGUAUAAUGUUUGUGUUUGUAUAAUGUUUGUGUGUGUAUAAUGCUUGCAGGUGUAUAAUGUUUGUGUGUGUAUAAUGUGUGUCUUUGAUUUUCUGUGUGUAUAACGUGUGUUUGUGUGUGAGUAAUUUGUAUGUGUUUUUGUUCAUAAUGUGUCUGUGUAUAAUGUGUGUGUAUGAUGUGUUUGUGUGUGGUGUUUGUGUGUGUAUGUGUCCAUGUGUGUGUCCGUGUGUGUGUGUGUUUGAGUGUGUGUGUGGGUGUGGUGUGUUUCUGUGUGUCCUUGUGUGUGUGUGUGUGUGUGUGUGUGUGUGUGUGUGUGUGUGUGUGUGUGUGUGUGUGUGUCCGUGUGUGUGUCUGUGUAUGUGUGUGUUUGUGUCCGUGUGUGUGUGUGUGUCCGUGUGUGUAUUUUUGUGUGUGUGUGUGUGUGUGUGUGUGUGUGUGUGUGUGUGUGUGUCCGUGUGUGUGUGUGUGUGUGUGUGUGUGUGUGUGUGUGUGUGUGUGUGUGU